ACUACACAGCUGGCAGCCUCUGCCAUUGCAGUAAGUAUAUGCGACAGGGUAAAAAGGGUUAAUGUGGUGAGGACAAAGGACUGCAGAGGCCUGGCUAGGAGGGUCCAGAUGCUUAAUAAUACUUUGUAUAGAAGUUUGAAGGUUGCGAGAAGGCCUUUUCAAGGCUUGAAAAUCUCAAGAUCCACUUGCGGAGCCACACAGGCGAGAAGCCGUAUUUGUGCCAGCAUCCGGGUUGUCAGAAGGCCUUCAGUAACUCCAGUGACCGCGCCAAACACCAGCGGACGCAUCUGGACACCGUUUCUUCUGAAAAAUACCCAGUUUUUUUCUGGACUUUCUACAGCUUCUUUACCUGAACCCUUAAAGAAUAUGUGUUUACUAGUUUCUGACAGUACCAAAGAUUAUUCUCAGGGAAACAUAACUAAACCUUAUGCUUGUCAAAUUCCAGGAUGUACCAAACGCUACACAGACCCAAGUUCCCUAAGAAAGCAUGUGAAGGCACAUUCUUCCAAAGAGCAACAAGCAAGGAAAAAG
rnacentral:lncRNA from 1 species